UACGAAGGGGGCUAGCGUUGGUUCGGAAUUACUGGGCGUAAAGCGUGCGCAGGCGGGCUUCUCAAGUCAGGGGUGAAAGCCCAGAGCUUAACUCAUGGAAUUGCCGUUUCGAGACUGAGAGGCUUGAGUACGGGAGAGGUGAGUGGAAUUCCCAGUGUAGAGGUGAAAUUCGUAGAUAUUGGGAAGAACACCGGUGGCGAAGGCGGCUCACUGGCCCGUAACUGACGCUCAUGCACGACAGCGUGGGGAUCAAACAGG
rnacentral:rRNA from 1 species